UUGCGGUGAUGACUAAAAUGGUUUCGCUUUUCACCGAUCACCAUUGAAGACAACUCUCUUGGCUGUCUGAGCAU